CCUACGGGAGGCUGCAGUGAGGAAUAUUGGUCAAUGGACGAGAGUCUGAACCAGCCAAGCAGCGUGAAGGAUGACUGCCCUAUGGGUUGUAAACUUCUUUUAUAUGGGAAUAAAAUGUUCCACGUGUGGGAUUUUGUAUGUACCAUAUGAAUACGGAUCGGCUAACUCCGUGCGAGCAGCCGCGGUAAUACGGAGGAUCCGAGCGUUAUCCGGAUUUAUUGGGUUUAAAGGGAGCGUAGGUGGAUGGUUAAGUCAGUUGUGAAAGUUUGCGGCUCAACCGUAAAAUUGCAGUUGAGACUGGCAGUCUAGAGUACAGUAGAGGUGAGCGGAAUUCGUGGUGUAGCGGUGAAAUGCUUAGAUAGCACGAAGAACACCGAUUGCGAAGGCAGUUCACUGGACUGCAACUGACGCUGAGGCGCGAAAGUGUGGGGAUCAAACAGGAUUAGAUACCCGAGUAGUC
rnacentral:rRNA from 1 species